UGUUCUGUGGCUAGUUGGUUAAAGCAUCGGACUAGCGAUACGGAAUCGUGGAUUCGAAUACCACCAAAAUAA
rnacentral:tRNA from 1 species